GAUCAUGGCUCAGGAUGAACGCUAGCUACAGGCUUAACACAUGCAAGUCGAGGGGCAGCAUGAACUUAGCUUGCUAAGUUUGUAUGGCGACCGGCGCACGGGUGAGUAACACGUAUCCAACCUGCCGAUGACUCGGGGGAUAGCCUUUCGAAAGAAAGAUUAAUACCCGAUGGCAUAGUUCUUCCGCAUGGUAGAACUAUUAAAGAACUUCGGUCAUCGAUGGGGAUGCGUUCCA
rnacentral:rRNA from 1 species